rnacentral:rRNA from 1 species
GGCCUUUAGAUUUUAAUUUGAGGUCUAGCCUGCCCACUGAAGUUAUUAAAUGGCCGCGUAAAAUUGAUCGUGCUAAGGUAGCAUAAUAAUUAGUUUUUUAAUUGGAGACUUGUAUGAAAGGUUGGAUAAGAAAGUAACUGUUUCUAUUAUAAUUUUAUUAGAAUUUUAUUUUUAAGUAAAAAAGCUUAAAUAAUUUUAAAAGACGAGAAGACCCUAUAGAAUUUUAUAAAUUUUUAGUUUUUAAGGUUAUAGAAAAUUAGAUUUGAAAUCUGAAAAUUUAUUUGGUUGGGGUGACUGAAAAAUUAAAGUAACUUUUUAUUAAUUUGAACAUUAAUGUAUGAAUAGUUGGUCCAUUUUUUAUGGUUAUAAGAUUAAAUUACCUUAGGGAUAACAGCGUUAUUUUUUUUUAGAGUUCAAAUCGAAAAAAGAGAUUGCGACCUCGAUGUUGGAUUAAAAUUAAUAUUUGGUGUAGAGGCUGAAUAAUUAGGUCUGUUCGACCUUUAAAAUUUUACA